AUUAAACGCUGGCGGCAUGCCUUACACAUGCAAGUCGAACGGCAGGCACGGGGCAACCUGGUGGCGAGUGGCGAACGGGUGAGUAAAGCAUCGGAACGUGCCCUGGAGUGGGGGAUAACGUAGCGAAAGUUACGCUAAUACCGCAUAUUCUGUGAGCAGGAAAGCAGGGGAUCGCAAGACCUUGCGCUCUGGGAGCGGCCGAUGUCGGAUUAGCUAGUUGGUGGGGUAAAGGCCUACCAAGGCGACGAUCCGUAGCGGGUCUGAGAGGAUGAUCCGCCACACUGGGACUGAGACACGGCCCAGACUCCUACGGGAGGCAGCAGUGGGGAAUUUUGGACAAUGGGCGGAAGCCUGAUCCAGCCAUGCCGCGUGAGUGAAGAAGGCCUUCGGGUUGUAAAGCUCUUUCGGCCGGGAAGAAAUCGCAUGGGUCAAUACCCUGUGUGGAUGACGGUACCGGAAUAAGAAGCACCGGCUAACUACGUGC
rnacentral:rRNA from 1 species